rnacentral:rRNA from 1 species
CACGUAGGGGGCAAGCGUUGUCCGGAUUUAUUGGGCGUAAAGGGUGCGUAGGCGGCGGAGUAAGUUGGGUGUGAAAUCCCGAGGCUCAACCUCGGAAUGGCAUUCAAUACUGCUUCGCUCGAGUACUGGAGAGGAGGCUGGAAUUUACGGUGUAGCAGUGAAAUGCGUAGAUAUCGUAAGGAAGGCCGGUGGCGAAAGCGAGCCUCUGGACAGUUACUGACGCUGAUGCACGAAGGCCAGGGGAGCAAACGGG